rnacentral:misc_RNA from 1 species
GAUGAAGAACACAGCGAAAUGCGAUAAGUAAUGUGAAUUGCAGAAUUCAGUGAAUCAUCGAAUCUUUGAACGCACCUUGCGCCCUUUGGCUAUUCCGAAGGGCAUGCCUGUUUGAGUAUCAUGAACACCUCAACUCUCAUGGUUUGCCAUGAUGAGCUUGGACUCUGGGGGUCUUGCUGGCCUAUGGUCAGCUCCUCUCAAAUAAAUCAGCUUGCCAGUGUUUGGUGGCAUCACAGGUGUGAUAACUAUCUACGCUUGUGGUUUUCCAUCAGGUAACCUUCAGUGAUGGAGGUUCGCUGGAGCUCAUAAAUGUCCCUCCUCAGCGAGGACAGCUUUUUGAACGUUUGAUCUCAAAUCAGGUAGGACUACCCGCUGAACUUAAGCAUAUCAAUAAGCGGAGGA